CAAUGCUUGACCCCGCCCCCCAGCGGGUCAGAGGUUAGCGAGCCCAGGUAGACACAAUCCGAACCUGGGCAGCCAGGGUCCUACACCGAGGCUCACAAGCCAUAACCGACCUUCAGAACCACCAGCCGCUCCAAGCGGGUCCCGUCCCCGAGCUGUGCUCCUGCAGCAUGGCUCGGCCCCGCUCCCAGACAAGACGCAGGAGGGACGUAGCUUCUGGAGACAGGUGGGGAGGGAAGAACCGUACCAAGCAGUGGAUCCCAUAUCCAGUUUUCUAUUGCUUUGAUCCCGCUGCCCCAGCUAAGAUCCAGGUCCAGUUUAGUCCAGGGACCCCAUUUGUUCCUGUGCGGGGGGAUGGAGGGGAGAGGCUCCGGCCUGGGAGAACUGGGACUCAAAAUCCCCCAGAGGGUUGGAGAUCCAUAGUGAGCAGCUCCUUAUUCCUGCAUGGCCCCUGGUGUCCACAGCGCACCGCCUGCCCCCGCCAGAGACAGCGCAAUGAGAAACUCAGGUCCAGUCCACCCAGCAAGAGAGACCCAAUAAACACCAAGCAAACGGCCCUGGUUCUUCUGGGAGGAGGAGCAGCAGCUCGGGACGCUACUGAGCAAAGAUGAUGCUGGAGAGGGGUUUAGACCACUGGAGGACAUCUUGGUCGUAGGUGGCACGGGUUCCGUCCUUGGGACAGUGCGGGCAGCAGGUUGCUACAUCAGGCAUUGGCCUGGCAGGGCACCUCUGCUCCUCCAUACUUGCUUCCUGCGGGGCUGAGCGGGAGGAGAAGCUAUUGGAGAGCAGAGCAGGACCCUACACUGGGUUCAGACCGCGUCACAGGGGUCUCCCUACACCAAGAGGGGGAUAGACUGACCCGGGGUUAUGUUAGGAAUGCAGCGUAUGUUCAUGGCUGGGCCACGCACAGCUUUGGUACGAAUACAGUUAACCAGCGCAGCCCCCAGCGCCGACACAGUUUGACGGGAUAGCUUAGAUCCCAGCCUUAAGGGAAAGCAAGGGAGGAAAGAGAGAUGAGGGAAGAGAAGGGAAAAGUGUCACAGUUUCUAACCAUCGGCCAAGCCUCCCAUGAGGAGCUGUGGGGACAAACAGCCUGACUAAUUUGAAGACGGAGCUUGGUAAGUUUCUGAAUGGGGCUGUAGGAUGGAUUGCCAGCAAAAGCAGGGGCCAGACGCGAGGACCUAGGACCCUCCUUGCCUGUGCCCAUGGAGUAUGGGAUAGAGAGAAGGAGAAGGAGGAAAGAGGAGUGAGUGGAGAACGGGGGUCCUUGUUAGCCCCCAGGCUGCUGGAAUCGCAUUGACUGGGUAAUCUCACUGGCUCUCACCCUCCAACACCUGGGUCCCCUGCCCUCUACAUACUGCCCCUUAUCAGGAUCAGGGCUCUAGGCCGUAUGCUCAGCCCCACAGCACUAAUCCCCUCCCUCCCCAUCUCCUCCAUGAGAACUGAAACGCGGGACUCGCAGUGGCUUGUUUAAGCCCCAAACCAUUAACAGAGCAGAUGUGGAGCUUAACUGAGCUCCUCCUUCCCUGCCCUACAAACACCUGAGUUCAGGGCUCUGGAGCUUCCAUUUCUAGAGCGCCGUCCCCCAGGAUGGUCCUAAAGCACCCUACAAACUGCACACCUGCAGCCCUCUCUGGGGUGGAACACGGCAGCUCGUUGACACAGCACAGCAACACUGCAUAGCAGCUCAGGGCAAGAAACAAAGGAGGAUCCUGUCUCUGAUUGCAACCGCUAAGGAUUUUAGGGAAGGGAAACUUGAGCUGGAAUUUGGCCAGGACUCCAAGGCUAAUGCCCUGAUUGACAAACAAGCCACAAGAUUGCAGUUUGUAGGGCCUGGACUUCAAGGCUCAUCUGAAGGACACCUCUUUGACUACAAGCUUCCCCUAAUGGCACCGUGGGCUCUGUAUGGCCUCUAAAGGGAAGAACAGCUCCUAUUGACCCUCCAACACCACUCCCAUCCAAAUACUGGCCAGGCCUGACUCUGAUUAGCAUGCAAGACCUGACCUGCUCCCAGCAGAGCAAGGUGCUUUGAUUGCAGGCAUUGCAAAUGAUUUGAGCAGCACAGGAAAACGCUCUGCUUUGGACACUGGCUUGUCAGCUACGGCAGAGGAAACGUGGAAUAUUGAGCUCAAGCCUUGGCAUGUCAAAGACAGGAGGAAUCGCUUUCAAAUAGCUCAGGUCUGUACCUCCCAGUUCUUCCCAAAUCUCAGCUGAAAUCAUCUUCUCUUCUCCCCUCCCCCUGAAAUUCCCUCUGCUACAAGUUAUUUGCCAGUGAUAGCUACGGAUCAUGUUUUAAAUACCUAGAGCUUUAUAGAGCUGCCACUUCAGGUGUACACCGAAAUAAAUGAUCUCAUACAAGGGGAGACCCUCA
rnacentral:lncRNA from 1 species